rnacentral:rRNA from 1 species
CCUACGGGGGGCAGCAGUGGGGGAUAUUGCACAAUGGGGGAAACCCUGAUGCAGCGACGCCGCGUGAGGGAAGACGGUUUUCGGAUUGUAAACCUCUGUCUUUGGGGACGAAUUGAGACGGUACCCAAGGAGGAAGCUCCGGCUAACUACGUGCCAGCAGCCGCGGUAAUACGUAGGGAGCAAGCGUUGUCCGGAAUUACUGGGUGUAAAGGGAGCGUAGGCGGGAUAGUAAGUUGAUUGUUAAAACUAUCGGCUCAACUGGUAGAUGCGAUCAAAACUGCAAUUCUUGAGUGAAGUAGAGGCAGGCGGAAUUCCUAGUGUAGCGGUGAAAUGCGUAGAUAUUAGGAGGAACACCAGUGGCGAAGGCGGCCUGCUGGGCUUUAACUGACGCUGAGGCUCGAAAGUGUGGGUAGCAAACAGGAUUAGAUACCCUUGUAGU